GACCCACGUCACGACGGCCGUGAAACGCUCUGCAACAGCGUUGACACUGGGUUCGACUCCCAGGUGGGUCUC
rnacentral:tRNA from 1 species